UUAUGGUACUCUUUUUGCUCA
rnacentral:siRNA from 1 species